GUGUAAAUUUAACUGAGAGAUUGUUAGCAACUCCCUGCGAAAGGACGAGAACUAGGAAUUACCUAUAAAUUACAUGCUAAAUGCAGCACUCUCACCGUUUUUU
rnacentral:ncRNA from 1 species